GACGUAGGGCGCGAGCGUUGUCCGGAUUUAUUGGGCGUAAAGAGCUCGUAGGCGGCUUGUUGCGUCGUCCGUGAAAACCUGUGGCUCAACCACAGGCUUGCGGUCGAUACGGGCGGGCUGGAGUUCGGUAGGGGAGACUGGAAUUCCUGGUGUAGCGGUGAAAUGCGCAGAUAUCAGGAGGAACACCGGUGGCGAAGGCGGGUCUCUGGACAGUUCCUGACGCUGAGGCACGAAGGUCAGGGGAGCAAACGGG
rnacentral:rRNA from 1 species